GCAGUCGAGCGGAGAGAGGUAGCUUGCUACUGAUCUUAGCGGCGGACGGGUGAGUAAUGCUUAGGAAUCUGCCUAUUAGUGGGGGACAACAUUUCGAAAGGAAUGCUAAUACCGCAUACGUCCUACGGGAGAAAGCAGGGGAUCUUCGGACCUUGCGCUAAUAGAUGAGCCUAAGUCGGAUUAGCUAGUUGGUGGGGUAAAGGCCUACCAAGGCGACGAUCUGUAGCGGGUCUGAGAGGAUGAUCCGCCACACUGGGACUGAGACACGGCCCAGACUCCUACGGGAGGCAGCAGUGGGGAAUAUUGGACAAUGGGCGCAAGCCUGAUCCAGCCAUGCCGCGUGUGUGAAGAAGGCCUUAUGGUUGUAAAGCACUUUAAGCGAGGAGGAGGCUACUUUAGAUAAUACCUAGAGAUAGUGGACGUUACUCGCAGAAUAAGCACCGGCUAACUCUGUGCCAGCAGCCGCGGUAAUACAGAGGGUGCAAGCGUUAAUCGGAUUUACUGGGCGUAAAGCGCGCGUAGGCGGCUAAUUAAGUCAAAUGUGAAAUCCCCGAGCUUAACUUGGGAAUUGCAUUCGAUACUGGUUAGCUAGAGUGUGGGAGAGGAUGGUAGAAUUCCAGGUGUAGCGGUGAAAUGCGUAGAGAUCUGGAGGAAUACCGAUGGCGAAGGCAGCCAUCUGGCCUAACACUGACGCUGAGGUGCGAAAGCAUGGGGAGCAAACAGGAUUAGAUACCCUGGUAGUCCAUGCCGUAAACGAUGUCUACUAGCCGUUGGGGCCUUUGAGGCUUUAGUGGCGCAGCUAACGCGAUAAGUAGACCGCCUGGGGAGUACGGUCGCAAGACUAAAACUCAAAUGAAUUGACGGGGGCCCGCACAAGCGGUGGAGCAUGUGGUUUAAUUCGAUGCAACGCGAAGAACCUUACCUGGCCUUGACAUAGUAAGAACUUUCCAGAGAUGGAUUGGUGCCUUCGGGAACUUACAUACAGGUGCUGCAUGGCUGUCGUCAGCUCGUGUCGUGAGAUGUUGGGUUAAGUCCCGCAACGAGCGCAACCCUUUUCCUUAUUUGCCAGCGAGUAAUGUCGGGAACUUUAAGGAUACUGCCAGUGACAAACU
rnacentral:rRNA from 1 species